CCAGACUCAACAUCAACAGCUGGGUGCAGAAGCAGACUCAAGAUAAAAUUAAGGAUCUGUUGACCCCGGGUGACGUGGACAGCCUGAGCAGGCUGGUGCUGGUUAAUGCCAUGUACUUCAAAAGUAACGAGAAGUUUCAGCAGCAUGACACACAGGAGGCUCACUUUAGACUCAACAAGAAUGACACCAAGCCAGUGAAGAUGAUGCACCAGACAGCAUUGUUCCCUUUCUCCGACAACCCUAAGGCCAACUGCAAGGUACUGAUGCAAUUGAUUAGUUAAUUUAAAAAAA